CAAUUUUAUUUUUUAUUUCUAGUGUUUUUCAAAAAAGAAGCAGAAUGCUUUUUCUUCCUUGCUCCCUCUCCAUUUUUGCUAGGAGUUCAACCUAGCCUGCGCCACCCUGGAGGAUCAUCGGUGCCACGCACCUCCACCCCAUCGUCGGUUCACGAAUCACGACCGGGUGUUGUUGCGGAUAUCUCGGAAGCACAAGGCGUGACAAAGAGGGACUGUUGAUAGCGCACGUCUUGGAGGUGCAGUGGAUGGUGGAGGCACGUGGGGAUAGGGGUAUUUGGGGUGGAUUUUGUUUUGGUUUUGGGCUGUUUUGGGUUAUAGGAUUGGGCUAGUGGUUAAUGGGUUUGAUUAGUGGGCUAGGCAAAGAAAAUUGGUCCAACAUAGGGCAUGCAUAUAAAUUAUUUAAAAUUUUAAAUUCUAAAUUCUAAAAAAAAAAAAAAACAUGAAUUUCUAACAAAUAUAUUUGAAAAUAGAUGUUAAGAUGCUGAAAGAAAAUUUUCUUAAAUUUAUUUCAGUAUUUUUAUUGCUUUAAUUAAAUUAGUGGAAGAAAAGUAGUAUCCCAAAAGGACCUGAUUUGAUUUAUUUUAACAAAGCAACCUACUUUUUUGCAUGCUAUUUUUUCACAACCUGAUUUAAAA